rnacentral:rRNA from 1 species
GAUGAACGCUGGCGGCGUGCCUAAUACAUGCAAGUCGAGCGAACGGACGAGAAGCUUGCUUCUCUGAUGUUAGCGGCGGACGGGUGAGUAACACGUGGAUAACCUACCUAUAAGACUGGGAUAACUUCGGGAAACCGGAGCUAAUACCGGAUAAUAUUUUGAACCGCAUGGUUCAAAAGUGAAAGACGGUCUUGCUGUCACUUAUAGAUGGAUCCGCGCUGCAUUAGCUAGUUGGUAAGGUAACGGCUUACCAAGGCAACGAUGCAUAGCCGACCUGAGAGGGGGAGAGGCAACAGUGGAACGGAGACGGGGCCCAGACGCCCGGGGGGGGAAGCAUGAGGGAUUCUUCGGCAAGGGGGGAAACCCGGCGGGAGCAACGCGGCUGGAGGGAUGAAGUUUUUGGUAUCUUAAACCUUUGUUAUGAGGGAAAAACAGAUGUGAAGGAAACUGGGCACAUCUGGACGGUCCUUAACAAGAAAGCAACGGCUAACUACGUG